rnacentral:piRNA from 1 species
UACAGGAGGCAUGCCCUAAGAUGUCUGC